rnacentral:rRNA from 1 species
CCUACGGGUGGCUGCAGUGAGGAAUAUUGGUCAAUGGACGGAAGUCUGAACCAGCCAUGCAGCGUGCAGGAUGACUGCUCUAUGGGUUGUAAACUGCUUUUGUACAGGGGUAAAACUUACUACGUGUAUUCAGCUGUAUGUACUAUACGAAUAAGGAUCGGCUAACUCCGUGCCAGCAGCCGCGGUAAUACGGAGGAUCCGAGCGUUAUCCGGAUUUAUUGGGUUUAAAGGGUGCGUAGGUGGAUUGAUAAGUUAGAUGUGAAAGGUCCGAGCUUAACUCGGGAAUUGCCUCUAAUACUGGUGAUCUAGAGAGUAGAUGAGGUAGGCGGAAUGUAUGGUGUAGCGGUGAAAUGCUUAGAGAUCAUAAAGAACACCGAUUGCGAAGGCAGCUCACUAAUCUAUAUCUGACGCUGAGGCACGAAAGUGUGGGGAGCAAACAGGAUUAGAUACCCCAGUAGUC